CAACAACAACAAUAACAACAACAACAACCUCAACAAGUGUUUCUUCCUACCAGUCCGUUUAAGGCCCAGGCGGAGUCAUUCUUCCUGCUCCACUAUAUACUCUCCCUGCACUUCACCCUUCGCACAGGUUCAAGGUGGCGCCGCUCUUGGCUGUCUCCAAAGCAAAUGUUGACGCAGUGCUCAGAGAAGGAGGAAGAGACAGCGCCUUGAACUCCGGUGACAUAGAAUGGGCA